AGGAACAAAAAGCAACUGCGGUUGCUGGAGUAAUGGCGAAUGAAUGGGCAAGUGCUGGAUUCUCCCAGCCCGAAGGUGCUUGUCUCCGUGUGCCAACCAUGGCAGGCUGUGUGUGCUGUGGUGGUGUCCCCACCAACACCCCAGUCUGUGGUGCACAACCGACUGUUGUGAUCCAUCCCUUUGCUGUGGGCUGUGAGGUCCAUGGCCGUGCUCAGUCCUGGUAGUGCUGCACCAAGAAAAUGGUCCUUGGAAGGGGACACCACAGAGAGAGACUGUCUCGUAUGCCCUGUCAGUGUGUGGCACCAGGCUGGGUGUGGCUGUGGACACUCUGGAGUAGAGUUGCUUGAGACUGCAGUUUGAAGUGCAAUGUGUAUCCAUUGCAAGGAAAGGUAUCUGCCAGGGAACCGAUAGAGCACAAGUACCUUGAAGGAAGGAUGCAAAGGACUCUGCAAAGAGGGUUCAAAGUCCCUGAAGCCUCAGCAGGCUCCGGUGGUGAGUGGUGCUGUGGACCAUCCCAUUCUGUGGUGGUGGAUCCCACACACAUCUGGAUUCAAAGCAGAUCGAUGGUGUUGUUGUUGUGAUCGGGAUUGCACAGAAAGACCUGUCCAAAAUGGGGAUCAGCCACCCCCCACAGCAUGUGUGAUGGAGCCAAAGCAGUUUUGAGUCAGCCCUGGACUGGCCACAGAGCCCCAUCCCUCACAGGGUGGGAUGCCAUUUGGGGUGCCCUCGUGGUGCUCCUUGUCGUGGCAGAUCCCAGGUGAAACCAUGCCUGACUGGACUUGAGACUUUCAAAAUCAUCAACAGGAGCAGCACACAGAAAAGCAGAAGCAGUAUUCCCUAUGUGAAAAGGUGGUAUGCAACCCAGGCACAGAGAGCACAAGAGGAGUCUAUUCUGAUCACACUCGGUCAACACAGAGUGAGAGCCAUGCUUGUCCCUCUCUCCCAUUGCUGCCCCUUGGUUUGUCUCCGGACAUUCCAGGGCUCCAGCAGUGCGGCAGUGUAGUAUGGCCAUUCCUGGAAGGAUGCAGGUGAAGUUUCUCUCAUCAUCAGGAGAAAGAGAGGCUGGGGUCCACCUGGUGCCAGGCUGCACCAUCCUGCUGGUGGUCUCCCAGGUGGAUGUGGGGUGGUCCUUUCCGCCCCACACUCCCACCCCAGUCUCCCUGACCAGGUAUGGAGCAGAUAUCAGCACCCAGUUGUUUGGGUCAGUGACUUGGCCUUGCUGUGAAGCAGACCACCAGCAGGCCAUUCACUGCCCGUCUUGAAACACGGACCAAGGAGUCUAUGGAGCUUGCGAAUUGGAAGGUGUCUCUCCUCACAGUUGUUGGCAAAACCACAGGAUGUGGUGAAGGCAAAGUGGUCAUACAUGCCCCGAUGGGUUUGCAGAAAGGUGCAGAGUGUCCCCUGCUGGGGCCACCAGAUUCAGAUCCCUUCAGGACAGAGUUUUGAGUGAGUGUGAGGUCCAUGGGACCCGAAAGGUGGUGAACUAUACCAUUCCAUGAUGAAGCCAUGGGAAACUGUGGUGGAAGUCAGCAGCUGUUCUGACGUGCAAAUUGUGUAGCCCGAGUGUGGCAUAGGGGUGAAAGGCCAAUCGAACCACCUAGUAGC
rnacentral:rRNA from 1 species